AAUGGGUCGCAUUCGGAGCGAAUUUUUAAAAAGUUGAGUCCAUACCUAACUAUCAAAUUUGAAAUCCGAAUCCAAACGCGAAUUCGACGGAUUUUCAAAAUUCAUAUUCAAAUCCGAAUCCGACAAAAAAUCUAAAGUCCAAACCUGAACCCGAACCCAAAAAUAUGAACUUGAAACUAUUAUUUCACUUUACCAUAUUUCACAACAUAUUACAUUAAACUUAAAUUAAUUUUUAAAAUAUAAAUUCAAAUUUUAUAUAUAUAUAUAUAUAUAUAUAGAGAGAGANAUUUGCAAAAGUUCAGUGUAUUACAUUCACCCCUCCUAAAAAAAAGUUUCGUCCGCGAAACUUAUAAACACUUACCUC
rnacentral:lncRNA from 1 species